AAUGAACGUUGGCGGCGUGGAUUAGGCAUGCAAGUCGCGCGAGAAGUUUCCUUCGGGAGACGGACAGCGGCGGAAGGGAGAGGAAUAAGUAGAAAUCUGCCCUCGGGACGGGGAUAGCGGCGGGAAACUGCCGGUAAUACCCGAUAACAUCUUUGGAUCAAAUGGUGUGAUUCCGCCUGAGGAUGAGUCUACUUCCUAUUAGCUAGUUGGUGUGGUAAUGGCUCACCAAGGCAACGAUGGGUAGCGGGUGUGAGAGCACGAUCCGCCUCACUGGGACUGAGACACUGCCCAGACACCUACGGGUGGCUGCAGUCGAGAAUCUUCGGCAAUGGGGGAAACCCUGACCGAGCGACGCCGCGUGCGGGAUGAAGGCCCUCGGGUUGUAAACCGCUGUCGUAAGGGAACAAAUCUAAGAGGGUGCUCCCUUUUAGUUGAGUGAUCUUAGGAGGAAGGACGGGCUAAGUUCGUGCCAGCAGCCGCGGUAAAGUCUGUACU
rnacentral:rRNA from 1 species